UAAGACUGGAUAGGAAAUAAAAAGGCAUCUUUUUAUUUUUAAAAGACCUUUUUCGGAAGGUAUGCUUAAAGAGGGGCUUGCGUCACAUUAGUUAGUUGGCAGGGUAAAGGCCUACCAAGACUAUGAUGUGUAGCUGGACUGAGAGGUUGAACAGCCACAUUGGGACUGAGACACGGCCCAAACUCCUACGGGAGGCAGCAGUAGGGAAUUUUCGGCAAUGGAGGAAACUCUGACCGAGCAACGCCGCGUGAACGAUGAAGUAUUUCGGUAUGUAAAGUUCUUUUAUUGAAGAAGAAAAAAUAGUGGAAAAACUAUCUUGACGAUAUUCAAUGAAUAAGCCCCGGCAAACUAUGUGCCAGCAGCCGCGGUAAUACAUAGGGGGCGAGCGUUAUCCGGAAUUAUUGGGCGUAAAGGGUGCGUAGGCGGUUUAAUAAGUCUAUAGUUUAAUUUCAGUGCUUAACACUGUCCUGCUAUAGAAACUAUUAGACUAGAGUGAGAUAGAGGCAAGUGGAAUUCCAUGUGUAGCGGUAAAAUGCGUAAAUAUAUGGAGGAACACCAGAGGCGUAGGCGGCUUGCUGGGUCUUUACUGACGCUGAGGCACGAAAGCGUGGGGAGCAAACAGGAUUAGAUACCCUGGUAGUCCACGCCGUAAACGAUGAGUACUAAGUGUCGGGAUUACUCGGUACUGAAGUUAACACAUUAAGUACUCCGCCUGAGUAGUACGUACGCAAGUAUGAAACUUAAAGGAAUUGACGGGACUCCGCACAAGCGGUGGAUCAUGUUGUUUAAUUCGAAGAUACACGAAAAACCUUACCAGGUCUUGACAUACUCUGCAAAGCUAUAGCAAUAUAGUGGAGGUUAUCAGAGAUACAGGUGGUGCAUGGUUGUCGUCAGCUCGUGUCGUGAGAUGUUAGGUUAAGUCCUAAAACGAGCGCAACCCUUGUCAUUAGUUGCCAGCAUGUCAUGAUGGGCACUUUAAUGAGACUGCCAAUGAAAAAUUGGAGGAAGGUGAGGAUCACGUCAAAUCAUCAUGCCCCUUAUGAUCUGGGCUACAAACGUGAUACAAUGGCUGUUACAAAGAGUAGCUGAAACGCAAGUUUAUAGCCAAUCUCAUAAAAGCAGUCUCAGUUCGGAUUGAAGUCUGCAACUCGACUUCAUGAAGUUGGAAUCGCUAGUAAUCGCGAAUCAGCAUGUCGCGGUGAAUACGUUCACGGGGUUUGUACACACCGCCCGUCA
rnacentral:rRNA from 1 species